UGUUUCCUAAAAGGCGACGACGGGUAGCCGGCCUGAGAGGGUGACCGGCCACACUGGGACUGAGACACGGCCCAGACUCCUACGGGAGGCAGCAGUGGGGAAUAUUGCACAAUGGGCGAAAGCCUGAUGCAGCGACGCCGCGUGAGGGAUGACGGCCUUCGGGUUGUAAACCUCUUUCAGCAGGGAAGAAGCGAAAGUGACGGUACCUGCAGAAGAAGCACCGGCUAACUACGUGCCAGCAGCCGCGGCCG
rnacentral:rRNA from 1 species